AGUAGCCGCUGCUGUUUGAGGUGGCUGCCGGGCUGCCGCCAAGCCGGUUCAGAGACCGCCGCUGUUUUGGUUCUGCCGUUCCUUCUUCGUUCGAGUGGUUGUGGUUGCUGAGAAAGCGGGUUGGAGCUGAGGUUUUGACUGCAGUCGAUUCGGGUCAAUACGAAAGGAGUCAGUUAGCGAGUUUGGGUUGUGAUUUCAACGUAUCGAGGUUAUUCCUUUUCAGGAUAUGGAAGACAAAGCUUCAAGAGAGUUAUGUUUAUUUUCUAUUUAUUCGGUCUUUUUGUAUCACCGUAGCUAUUAUUUUUUUUCACCUUUAUCUUUAUGAAGCUUGUAAGAGGGAUAGGAAAUUAUGAUAUGUAUAAUUGUAAACUAGUGUUAUGUAUAUGUAUAUAUAUAUCUUAAGGUUA